AGAACGAACGCUGGCGGCAUGCCUAAUACAUGCAAGUCGAACGAACUCUUCGGAGUUAGUGGCGCACGGGUGCGUAACGCGUGGGAAUCUGCCCCUUGGUUCGGAAUAACAGUUGGAAACGACUGCUAAUACCGGAUGAUGACGAAAGUCCAAAGAUUUAUCGCCAAGGGAUGAGCCCGCGUAGGAUUAGCUAGUUGGUGAGGUAAAGGCUCGACCAAGGCAACGAUCCUUAGCUGGUCUGAGAGGAUGAUCAGCC
rnacentral:rRNA from 1 species